GACGUGGGGUGAUUCUCGUUUUUUGUUGAUUUGGCGUGGGGUUGACAGUUGCUGACCGUGAGAAUAAGAAAUUGUUCCGACGUUUUGUGCGUGUCCUCUGACGACCUAAGCUGGACUAAGCGCAAUCAAAGAUAAAAGACAAAUGACUUGUUCUUAUGCUCAUCUGCUUUUUAACUUGAUACAUGCGGUAUUAUCAUUUCUGUAUUUUGGCUAAUAUGAUCCGUGAGAUUUAUUAUACUUUUCAUAUAUGCCCACAAUUUAUACUUCAAAAUUUGUUCUUUUAUCUAACCGUAAUAAGGAGCCUACAGAUGACUACAAUUCAGGUGGGGACACGCGAUUUAAUGCACCAUGGCACAACAUUAUUCAUUAAGGACGAGGUACUUUGAGAAAGUGGUCAAAGCAGCAACAACAAACGACAAUCGAACUGUGGGACAGCUGAAGAGACAAUCAGCAGACGACAGGAACUGGCCACGAAGCUACUAUCGGCAUUGACAAUAUUCGUUUUAAUAAUUUGGUAUAGCAGUGUGCAUUCUCCUGCCUGGCAGUCAGUUUAUUGGUCAGUUCUUUCUUUCUGUGUAGUCACUGGCGUUCCCCCACCCCUGCACCCGCUGGAACAGUGCCAGCAUUUCUUCAUUCCAUCAAGGGAUUCUGAGCUGACAUGUUGUGUUUUUGUCAGUUGUGACGUGGCUAUUUAUUGUCGUGCAAAGAAAAGUGAAUUUGCGAUUCGAUCCGUCGGUCGCUGUGAAUCCGCUGCUUCGUGAAGUAUUGGGUUUUAGUUUUCUGCUUAUCAAGAAUAAAUUAAAGUUUCUCGUGCUUUCGAUAAUGGCAGAGUGGGGGAAGCUUACUGCCGCGCAGUCUGUGGUCAUCGUUGGUGGCUGAUGGUUGCAGUUGUCUGAUGUUCUGUGGCGUGGCGGUACUUCGUAGACCCAGGACUGGAGCAGUUGCAGCCAGGGCCCUUUGUGGUGAGUGCAGAAGUCGUCGUAGCUGGAGUGUAACAAGUAAGUGCCAGUAUGACCUGGAGCUUUUGUUGCAACUAAAAUUCUUCUUAGGUUGCCAGCCAUGUCGUGUGGUUGAAAGGUGAAAAACAAUUUAUCUCAAAACCUUGGAUACUGUGUAGUGUAUUUGAAUAUAAAUCAUGCAUACAAACAAAACUGUCUACACUUUGAAGGACACUGAUGCCAGACGUGUUUCGACCUCAAGAGGUCAUCAGUGUCAAAAACAAGUUGAAUCAUAUAAUACAAAUCUAAAAGAUUGUGGUUUUUUAUAGAGCAUAGAAGGCAAGUUCUUUACAAAAUCAUGUUUAUGUAACACCUCGCUGGACGUUGAUUGCUCAGGAGUUGGUGCAUUAUAUUGAAUACUUGGCUUUUAUGUCCACUGGCCUGCUUGCCGAUUGUGGUCUACGGUGAGCCUGUGCCUGCUAACUUCAACGAUGCUUGGGCAUUACUGUCAGCUUUAAAAAUGUGUAGGGUAUAUAUUAACUCUGAAAUCAGGGUGGCCUACUAUUGCAUAAGAAAUUUACUUUUUUCUGUUUUUUGCUUGGUCAAAUAACACAUUGGAGUCUUGGGCAUUCUGUUCAUUUAUCAUGUUUUGGUUUUUGCUAGUUUUAUAUAUAUAUGGGAUUUUUCAAAAAUGUCUAAGCAUUUUACCUUUUGAGGCUUUGUUCUCGUCCUCAAUACUAAAGUGCUCAGGACCUUGAUGAAUAUGUUUCUUCAAACAUUAAUUUUCUCUUCUUUGAACCACAUGGCAUGGCUGGUAGCCUGAGAGAAAUUCAUUAUAAUUAAGAUGCAGUGUUUAAAUGUCAGUUUUAUCAUACAGUGUGGAAUAACCAUGGCGUAAUAGCGUAAGAUAAUGUAAAGAGAUUGAUUUGUUUCCCAAAACAAUUUGUUUCUUUCAUGGACAGAUGCUUUCACUGUUUUACCAUUAGUUUUACUGUCUUUGCCUUGAUAUCUCGUAUUUAGAGCCAUUUACGUAUGGAAUUAUGAAGUCAUAUCUCAGGAUUUAGUUCUGGUCUUCAGCACUCCGUACCACAGGUGUCAUAACUUGAAUAAAAGUCACCUAACUGUUUAUAUGUCAUGCCACGCCUCACUUGAGUGAGUGAAUGAAUGGAGUUGAAUUGGUCUGUGGAACAGGUGCAUAAUGAAAUUAUAAAACAAAAGGACAAUCUGAUAUAAAUUCAUAAAUAUAGUUGAUAUUAGGCUGAAGACAUUUCACUGCAGUUAUUUCUACAAAAUUUUGAUUUGAAUGUUGAUGACAAAAUAAAAUGCUGGAAAUUAUAUGUUGUAGGAUGUUCUCAGAAUUGGAGAGUUUGAAAACAGUCCCUCUCUGGGCUGAGCAAUUUUAGAACUGCUGCCUUUAAGUUUUAUAAUGAAAGUAGUUAAAAUCAUAUUUUAAUUCUCAAAUUACGUCAUUGACUGGAAGUUCUUAGAUUUGUGGCUAUUGAAAUGUGCCUGCACCAACGAGGCAAUUAUUCAGACCACAUUUGUCUGACAGUGCAGCCAGUCAGAUGGGAUGCUGAGAUGUGGACCAUGCAACUUGAAAGGGCUGUUUUCAAGGUGUGAAUUUAGAAAUUCGUAUUUAUCCAAAAUAUAUAAAAUCAUGUGUUCAAACAGAACAGUUUACAUUUUGAAAGGCCAAACGUGUUUCGACCUCAUGAGGUGAUCAUCAGAGACGAAAACAUACAAUUCACAAGACGAUUGUAUGUUAUAAAGCACUCAGCAUAAAAAGGUCGCAUUUUAUGAAACCUUCCUUCAUGUAAUACCACACUGAAUGAUUAAGCAUUAUGUAAAUUUCCUUCAAUUCUAGGACUUUAUGUUUACAUCCAUGCUGUGUUUUUAAUUUUCUGUUAAUAUUAUAAUAAGAUUUCCAGAAAUGAUAGCCUGGGUUUCUGAGUAAUUUUCAUAUAAAGUUAAUGAUCUUUCCUCGAACACUUUAGGAAUGGGUUUUAAUCUUGUUAGGAGGAGCAUGGCAUCGAUUGGAGUUGUUUUGACUCCUCCUGUAAGGAGUCGUAAUUCCUGGUUUUGCGCUCGGUCUAGUUUACUCAGCUUUUUACCCAUAGCUGUUAUCAGUGACUCACAGCAAUAUAACAUUUUGGGAAGGAUGAACAUUUGUAUGCUGUGUUUAGGGUAGAGCGAUCACAACCCCAUUUAAUUCCUGCAAUGCAUUUCAUUGAAUUUAUGCGUCUAGUUACUGCAGAUACAGUUUUUUAUACUUGCUGAGGCCAUUUUAAUUUGUUAUCAAAAAUUGGUCUGUUUGAUGUAGUGGCAUGUUUGUUUUAUGUUAGGUUGGAUGCCUUGAUGAGUUACGGAGGUUUCGAACUUUGACUUUGACACACUAAUGUUCAUAUUAUUUUUAAUACACUUGCGCUUUAUAGGAAUGAACACAAAAGACUUUCUCCCUCUUGGCUGUUUGUGAACAUUGGAAAGAAAGAUGCUGAUUUAUCAGUUUAUAACCAUCUUGAUUUAUCCCAUGAAAGGACAAAAAAUAUUGAGAAAGCAGAACAUGCUAAGCGGCAGAGAAGAUGGUAACAGAUGAAUAAAUGGUCCAGUGUCUAAUUAAUUAAUCCAGAGAGGAGUAGGGUGAAGAGAAAAAUAAGCAUGAACCUGAACAAAUUCCAGUUAGUAAAUAGCAAACUCAUGAAGCUGUUAUCAUUCUAAGAACUGCACUGGAAAAAAGUUUAGCAACUGAAUGUGAAUACAGAAAGUACAGUACUGAGAGUUAUUAAAAUAAGUUAUGUGCUACGCUGACUGCUCACACCUAUCUAAUGCCAGGUUAAA